AGAGCGAACGCUGGCGGCAGGCCUAACACAUGCAAGUCGAGCGCCCGUAGCAAUACGGGAGCGGCAGACGGGAUAGUAACACGUGGGAACGCGCCCUUCGGUUCGGAAUAACUCAGGGAAACUUGAGCUAAUACCGGAUACGCCCUUACGGGGAAAGAUUUAUUGCCGAAGGAACGGCCCGCGUCCGAUUAGCUAGUUGGUGAGGUAAUGGCUCACCAAGGCGACGAUCGGUAGCUGGUCUGAGAGGAUGACCAGCAUCACUGGGACUGAGACACGGCCCAGACUCCUACGGGAGGCAGCAAUGGGGAAUAUUGGACAAUGGGCGCAAGCCUGAUCCAGCCAUGCCGCGUGAGUGAUGAAGGCCUUCGGGUUGUAAAACUCUUUCGACGGGGACGAUAAUGACGGUACCCGUAGAAGAAGCUCCGGCUAACUUCGUGCCAGCAGCCGC
rnacentral:rRNA from 1 species